CGACCGAAGGCUCCACCUGUGGGCGUUGCUAAAAUACAUGUUGAUGCAGGUGUACCUCGUCCUUCGCGAGGAGGCACGACAGCCGCAGUGUGCAGGGAUGAUCAUGGAAUCUUUUGGGGGAGCUCUACUUUAGUGAUCCAAGGUAUAAAUGAUCCGGCAACCCUUGAGGCAAUUGCAUGUCGAGAAGCUUUGGCACUGGCUGAAGAUUUGAACAUCCAGAGAUUCGUUAUCACAUCAGACGCCAAGCAGGUGGUGAAUGAUAUACAUACAGGGAACCGUGGAAGAUACGAAACGAUGAUUAAGGAAAUCCAG
rnacentral:rRNA from 1 species